AACGAACGCUGGCGGCAGGCUUAGCACAUGCAAGUCGAACGCGUGUAGCAAUACACGAGUGGCGCACGGGUGAGUAACGCGUGGAUAUCUGCCUUUUGGUUCGGAAUAACCCCGGGAACUGGGGCUAAUACCGGAUGGUUCCUACGGGAUAAAGAUUUAUCGCCAAAAGAUGAGUCCGCGUACGAUUAGCUAGUUGGUGAGGUAAUGGCUCACCAAGGCGACGAUCGUUAGCGGUCUGAGAGGACGAUCAGCCACACUGGGACUGAGACACGGCCCAGACUCCUACGGGAGGCAGCAGUGGGGAAUAUUGGACAAUGGGGGCAACCCUGAUCCAGCCAUGCCGCGUGAGUGAUGAAGGCCUUCGGUUGUAA
rnacentral:rRNA from 1 species